rnacentral:rRNA from 11 species
GACCUCGGAUCAGGUAGGGAUACCCGCUGAACUUAAGCAUAUCAAUAA